CACGUAGGCACCAAGCGUUAUCCGGAUUUAUUGGGCGUAAAGAGCUCGUAGGCGGUUCGGUAAGUCGGGUGUGAAAACUCUGGGCUCAACCCAGAGAGGCCACCCGAUACUGCUGUGACUAGAGUGCGGUAGGGGAGCGGGGAAUUCCUGGUGUAGCGGUGAAAUGCGCAGAUAUCAGGAGGAACACCAGCGGCGAAGGCGCCGCUCUGGGGCCGUAACUGACGCUGAGGAGCGAAAGCAUGGGUAGCAAACAGG
rnacentral:rRNA from 1 species